rnacentral:rRNA from 1 species
AGCAAUACAUGGCGUACUGCUCAGUAACACGUGGACAACCUACCCUCCGGACGGGUAUAAACCCGGGAAACUGGGUAUAAUCCCCGAUAGAUCUCGGUCGCUGGAAAGCCCCGAGAUCGAAAGCUCCGGCGCCAGAGGAUGGGUCUGCGGCCUAUCAGGUAGUAGUGGGUGUAGCGUACCUACUAGCCUAUAACGGGUAGGGGACAUGAGAGUGUGAGCCUCGAGAUGCCUUCUGAGACAUGAAGGCAGGUCCUACGGGACGCAGCAGGCGCGAAAACUUUCCAAUUCGUUAGCGCGUGAGAAGGGAACCCUGAGUGGUUAUGCAAUGCAUAAUCUUUUCUUCAGUCCAAAUAACUGGAGGAAUAAGUGGUGGGUAAGACAGGUGCCAGCCGCCGCGGUAAUACCUGCGCCACAAAUGGUGAUCACGAUUAUUGGGUCUAAAGCGUCCGUAGCCGGUUUUAAAAGUUUCUGGUGAAAUCUGGCAGUUGACUGUCAGUCGUGCUGGAAAUACUGUAAGACUUGGGAUCGGGAAAGGACUGAGGUAUUCCAUGGGUAGGGGUGAAAUCUUGUAAUCCUUGAAGGACCACCAGUGGCGAAGGCGUCUCACCAGAACGGACCUGACGGCAAGGGACGAAAGCUAGGGGCACGAACCGGAUUAGAUACCCGGGUAGUCCUAGCCGUAAACGAUACUCGCUAGGUGUCGGCCACGGUGCGACCGUUGUCGGUGCCGUAGGGAAGCCGUGAAGCGAGCCACCUGGGAAGUACGGC